AAAAAGAAAAAACCAUUCACGCAUUACUAUCAGAUGGCAUUACACCAGCUUCCUUCACAAUCACACACACACACACUUCUAUUACAAGUAUGUUUCUCAUUCAUACUUUCAAAUACUCAUCUACUUAUUCUCUGCAUUCUUUUUUUGGCCUCCAUUUCCAAUAUUUGCCUACCUGCACAUCCAGCACAAUUUGCUUUAUCAAUUGCUCUUCAUUUAUUUGUUUCAUGGGAACAAAUCAUCUCAAAAUACAAUUCCCAACUAACAUAGACCUGACAUACAUAUAUUCAUACUUACUUAAAUUCCC
rnacentral:lncRNA from 1 species